CCUGGCGCUGCCUCCCGGCCGCUCCGGCGGUCCCGCGCCGCGCGCCCGAUCACCACGGGGUGUUUUGGGGUUGUUUGUUUUUUUUUUUAGAAAGCCCAGAAGCGAAGCGUCCCUUCCUCCAGGUAUGUAUAUAAGUUACUGUACUGUGUGGGAGGGUCACGAUCUCGCUAGGUGCAGAAGAUUCCCCGGGAUUAACCCCUCCUCUCCCUUCCCCUCCUGCAACUUGUUGAGGAUGGCACCGCGCGCGCACGCGGAGCGGCACACGGCCGCACGCACACACACGCGGAGCGCGGCGCGGGAGCGGUCCGGUGCCCCCGACGGCGCGGUGAUUGGCCGCGCUGCUCGUGGAGAAGGGGACGUCUCAAGUCGAAGUCACGAUUUCUCCUCAGUUUGGAACCAUCUGUGACUGGAGCCAUGACGCAGCCAGAGCACAUUACUCACUUUUACAGUCACGACUUGGAAAUCCGUGCAGUUUCCAACCAAAAUUACACCGCCACCAUUGAAUUAUUUAAUAGGAUCCAGUUAAGGGGUGAUUCCCCUUUCUGCAAGAAUUCCCUGUCUCCGGGCUCCGUGCAUGCAGCAAAUGCGUUAUGGAGACGAGCGGAGCCCCCUCGCCUUAAAGAAAAGUAGAAAGGGAGCAAAACGGAGGGAUCCGAGCAUGCAGAAAGGAAAGACGAGACUCACGGCCGCUGGCUGCAGCAUGCACAGGAAAGAUCGCUACUUACCGAGCGGGAACUCCUCGGACAGGAGUUGGAAAAAAAUACUGCGGUGAUGUCCAGGUUUUCUUCCACCCGCGCUCGCUUUUUAUACAAGUGCAACCCUCUGUCUAUUUCUGGAACGCGAUCAAAACCCUGAUGCUAUUUUUAGCAGUGUCUUUGUAAAGUGGGCUUGGGAGAAAACACAACAACCACCAUGCACCACUUGGCCAUUGUGCACAAACGUGGGUUUCAGGCGGGGAUGCUUUGCCGGGAGACUGAGGUGGCUCCAUACGGUGAAUUGCACCCAGCACAAAGAAGGGCUGCUGGGGUUUUUUGUUUUUUUUUUUUUUGUUUUUUUAAUUCUCUCCUCGCCCCCUGCCUUUCUCCCCCUUAAAAAAAUACCAUCCUUUGUUUGGAGAAUAAAGGAUCUAUAAAUAUAUAUAUGAAAAAAGGGCGUGUGUGUGUGUUUGCGUUCUAGUAAUUCACUACGAGGGGGGACUGGGGAAAAAAUAGAAUCAUUAGGGCUUGCAGGCUGCAAGGAGCCAGCCUGAGACUCCUUUGCAAGGCUGCGUCAGUUAUCAGCUAUUGACGUCACGUUCAGAUUCUCCUCUUCAGAGGCUCUAGUUCAUCAUAAAAGAUGUCUGUGCUCGGAGCUUUGUGCUUGCAGAAAGGCACUUCAAUUCGAGGAAAAGAGUUAAUUAGCAAGCCCCAUAUUUUGUGGUGUGCAGCUUUCUGUGCAGUUGCACAAAAAUCCGGGGGGGGUGUGCAAAUGUGUGUUUGUA
ensembl:lncRNA